GCCUCAGUAGCUCAGUUGGUUAGAGCACACGGCUGUUAACCGUGGGGUCGAAGGUUCAAGUCCUUCCUGAGGCG
rnacentral:tRNA from 1 species